UCUGGGAUAAGCGCUGGAAACGGCGUCUAAUACUGGAUAUGACACACGAAGGCAUCUUCUGUGUGUGGAAAGAUUUUUUUGGUUUGGGAUGAACUCGCGGCCUAUCAGCUUGUUGGUGAGGUAAUGGCUCACCAAGGCGAUGACGGGUAGCCGGCCUGAGAGGGUGACCGGCCACACUGGGACUGAGACACGGCCCAGACUCCUACGGGAGGCAGCAGUGGGGAAUAUUGCACAAUGGGCGCAAGCCUGAUGCAGCAACGCCGCGUGGGGGAUGACGGCCUUCGGGUUGUAAACCUCUUUUAGUAGGGAAGAAGCCUUUCGGGGUGACGGUACCUGCAGAAAAAGCACCGGCUAACUACGUGCCAGCAGCCGCGGUAAUACGUAGGGUGCGAGCGUUGUCCGGAAUUAUUGGGCGUAAAGAGCUCGUAGGCGGUUUGUCGCGUCUGCUGUGAAAUCCCGAGGCUCAACCUCGGGUCUGCAGUGGGUACGGGCAGACUAGAGUGCGGUAGGGGAGAAUGGAACUCCUGGUGUAGCGGUGGAAUGCGCAGAUAUCAGGAAGAACACCGAUGGCGAAGGCAGUUCUCUGGGCCGUUACUGACGC
rnacentral:rRNA from 1 species